rnacentral:rRNA from 1 species
UACGUAGGGUGCAAGCGUUGUCCGGAUUUAUUGGGCGUAAAGAGUUCGUAGGCGGUUUGUCACGUCGGAUGUGAAAUCCCAGAGCUUAACUCUGGGCCUGCAUUCGAUACGGGCUUACUAGAGUGUUGUAGGGGAGACUGGAACUCCUGGUGUAGCGGUGAAAUGCGCAGAUAUCAGGAAGAACACCAGUGGCGAAGGCGGCUUCCUGGCCUGUAACUGACGCUGAGACGCGAAAGCGUGGGGAGCGAACCGG